UACGUAGGGUGCAAGCGUUGUCCGGAAUUAUUGGGCGUAAAGAGCUCGUAGGCGGUUUGUCGCGUCUGCUGUGAAAACCCGGGGCUCAACCCCGGGCGUGCAUUCGAUACUGCGCGGCUCGAGACAGGUAGGGGAGAUCGGAAUUCCUGGUGUAGCGGUGAAAUGCGCAGAUAUCAGGAGGAACACCGGUGGCGAAGGCGGAUCUCUGGGCCAUUACUGACGCUGAGGAGCGAAAGCGUGGGGAGCGAACAGG
rnacentral:rRNA from 1 species